UACGUAGGGCGCAAGCGUUGUCCGGAAUUAUUGGGCGUAAAGAGCUCGUAGGCGGUUUGUCGCGUCUGCUGUGAAAACGCGAGGCUUAACCUCGCGCCUGCAGUGGGUACGGACAGACUAGAGUGCGGUAGGGGAGACUGGAAUUCCUGGUGUAGCGGUGGAAUGCGCAGAUAUCAGGAGGAACACCGAUGGCGAAGGCAGGUCACUGGGCCGUUACUGACGCUGAGGUGCGAAAGCGUGGGUAGCAAACAGG
rnacentral:misc_RNA from 1 species